UACGAAGGGGCUAGCGUUGCUCGGAAUCACUGGCGUAAAGGGUGCGUAGGCGGGUCUUAAGUCAGGGUGAAAUCCUGGAGCUCAACGUCCAGAACUGCCUUUGAUACUGAGAUCUUGAGUUCGGAGAGGUGAGUGGAACUGCGAGUGUAGAGGUGAAAUUCGUAGAUAUUCGCAAGAACACCAGUGGCGAAGGCGGCUCACUGGCCCGAUACUGACGCUGAGGCACGAAAGC
rnacentral:rRNA from 1 species